AAACCCGCCUCCCCGCGAGUGUCCAUCUGCAGCGUCCGUGUCGCACAGCCAGAGGCCUCUCCGGGGAGGAGGCCAGGACCCGCGCGGCGGGGAGCUGAGCCGUGUCCAAGGCGCGGCCUCACGAGCUGCGGGGACGUCCCAGCAGCAAGUCUGGGAACGGGGAAAAGCAAGGACGGACCCUCCUUCCCGGGGAAGCUCAGUCCAUCCGACCCGGCACUCCGCGCUAACUUCUUCCCAGCGCUGGACUCUCACCUCAUUUCAGUGAAAAUAAACAGCAGCCCAUGAACUUCUUUUGGGCACGACAUUGGACGUGUGAAGAGGUGAAAACCAUAAUCACAGCCUGAAAAUGGCCAUUUCCUCCUGACGAUACCCCACGCCCUGCAUGGAGCCAGCUCAGCUGUGGCCUUCCCGCUUCCCCAGGACGCUCAGGUAAACGUGUCCUGGGUGACUGGCCGUGACUGGCGAGCUCCGGAAAUAAACAUUACGCUAUCCCCAGCCAGUGAUCCGGGAGGGAAUACUGCGUCUUCGACAUGGCAAAAGAAUGAGUAACGGCCCCCAGGAUGGUCAGAACAGGCCGCCCUGAGAGAGUGACCUUGGCACGUGGCUUAUUCAAGCUGAGGUGAAACCAGACCCUGAAGACCCAUCAGAAACUGCAUCACGCCCUUAACUUCCCAGAGGAAUGGAAACGGAGGCGCUCGCCCAGCAUCCGGGUUAUUACCGCAACCUCUCUGUGUGGGAAGCCUGUCCAUGGUGGCAAACACCCCCACGGUCCCCGCAGGGCCAUCACCCAGGACCCUGCUGGUGCUGUGACCCCUCCCCUCCCCCCAAGCCCAGGGCCCUGCCCCGUUGGCUAACUCAGGACACAGCGAACUUGGAAUCGUCAUUUCUAUGUAGAUUCCCAUAUCCGUGUAACUAAAUUUGUGGUUUUUUCCCCUCCUACUAAAUGUCUGAUGUUAAUUUGAUUAUUUGACCAGCCCAAGAAGCAGCCAGAGGGCUGGGCUGGGGUGGGGGCCGUCCCUCCCCCGGACUCCUCUCUGCCCCAUCCUGGCCUUAGUCCCGCACUCAUCCGUGAUUAUUGGAUGUGAGUCCAGCUUGAGACUUCUGCGCACCUCAUCAUGGGAACAAUAAAGAGUCUCACAAUUUAAGACACCAUUUCUGGGGUUUUCUGUUACUUGAAACUGAAUGCAGCUUAAAGGAUAAAGAAGAUUCUAGCAAUUUUGAAAUAGCAAAU